rnacentral:lncRNA from 1 species
UAAUUUCAGGGAGCUAAAUCGCAUAUCUACCAGAAAAACAAAAUCGCAAUCAUUACAAGUAUCAUUCCACAGUUACAUGAAAGUAAUAAACUAAACAUAAAGUUUAUGUCAAACUAAAUGCUUACAAAUAUUUCAUUUUUACAGGGAAACUAUCACUCACAACCACACCUGGAUCACGCUUCUAGUUUGACCACGAUAUUGAUAUCAUACAACGCUUCCAAAAGAGGAAUAAACUACUAUCCUAAGCCUGAUGCCAAGACUCCACAUGGAAUCAAACAACAACGCAGCAAACAACACCAGUCAACUGUUUUAAAUUUUACAUUACCGAUUCCUACGUCAAUUUAAAAUGCACAGUCAUAUACUUUUUUUCUCACGGAAAUUGAUAGCUCAACACAAUAUAUUAUUCAAACUUACUGUUGUUUACAAAAAAUUAACUUACAAUUUCUUAAACGAAAAAAUUCUAUGGUUAAUUCUACAACAAACAAAAAUUAACUUACACUUUAUUAAACUAAAAAAUACCAAUUAAAUAUAAAUUUACUAUAAUUAAACGUGUUAUCCGCGCGGAGCGCGGACACCGGAUC